AACGAACGCUGGCGGCAUGCCUAACACAUGCAAGUCGAACGAGACCUUCGGGUCUAGUGGCGCACGGUUGCGUAACGCGUGGUGACCUGCCCUUAGGUUCGGUAUAACUCCCCGUAAGGUGUGCUAAUACCGGUUAAUGUCUUCUGACCAAAGAUUUAUCGCGUUUGGAUGGGCCCGCGUUGGAUUAGCUUGUUGGUAGGGUAAAAGCAUACCAAGGCGUGGAUCCAUAGCUGGUAUGAGAGGAUGAUCAGCCACACUGGGACUGAGAAACGGCCCAGAAUAGUACGGGAGGCAGCAGUGGGGAAUAUUGGAAAAUGGGCGAAAGCAUGAUCCAGCAAUGCCGGGUGAGUGAUGAAGGCCGUAGGGAUGAAAAGCACUAUUACACGGGAAGAUAAUGACAGUACCGGGAGAAUAAGCUCCGGCUAACUCCGUG
rnacentral:rRNA from 1 species